GUUCUGUCAAGAAAAAAAAAUAGUCUCUAAUCUUCAUUCCUCUUCCAUCUUCAAUAGUGUCUGGACUUAGAAAAUUGGUUUGCUCAGGGACUAGAAGCAUCUAGAACCUAUUGAAAAUAAAAGAAUACAAGUUAAUUAAUUAGAAACUCAACUUAGCCAAAAGGAAGGAAAAUUUUACAAUCAAUAAACCUUACAGUCCGAGACGCCCAAAGUGCCACUGUUCAUUGCAAAAUUUCGGUUUCCCUGCUCCUGUUCACCAUUCCAAAUCGCCUUCCAUGUCGAUUCCCUUUUUCUCGUUUGUUUUACUCGACAGUCUUUCUGGUAGGAAGCUUUUUAUUUUUGUCAGUCCCAGGCUUUCUAUCUGCCAUCGCAGAUUGCUUUUGGAGUUUGUUUGUCUCGUUUCCAAUUUGUUUUGGCUAUAUACCCGUUUCCUUCUUCCUCUUCUUUCGUUCUAUCUCGCUCUCUCGCUCUUCAUUAUUGUUUCUGUUCUGAUUUGUUUUUUUUUUUGUUUUCUCUCCAUGGCCGAUAGGUUUGAUUUCUUGUGCGAUGCCUUUCCGGGAAGAACUGCUUGGCGAUUCAAGGUUAGGGUCGCUGGGAUAUGGGAAGUAACUGGUUUGAUUUCCUUUUCUUCAAUUCUGCUUUUUCAUUUAUAGUUGUUCUGACUUUGUACUUAUUGCUUCUUGUUUGGUUGAUUGGCUUGGACUGCAUCAUCAAGGGUUUGAUUUUGUUUGUUUGUUUGUUUCAUUUCAAGGUGCUAUAGGUUGGGUGCACACCUGACUACAUCUUCCUCUUGCAAACAAUUCUCUGAACAGAUCCUCAGGUUUGAGAGAAAGUCUCUACAUUUAUGCUGUUUAAUUGAUUUAAGCAAACAAUUUUAUAGCAAUUGAAAUAAAAUGCACUGUAGGUGUCUGAUAAAAUGUCCAUGAGGAACCUUGUGAUAGUUACAAUAGAACUAUGUGAAUCACUAUGUAACUUAUUGGUUUUUUCCCCUUAUAUCUCCAUUGUUGAUAGUUUAUAAAUACCUCAUAACAGCCCAAGUUUUGCACUCCAAAAUUAAUGCAGCUCAAGCAGCUCUAGUGGAUCACUAGAGGUGAUGCAAUGGCAAAAAUGUAUAUAGGAUUUUGGAGGUGUUUGCUUCACUUCUUUAUUAUUUUUUUAUCUUACAGCUGAGAUAGGUGUGGAAAGGUAUUCAUUGUGCUAUUGUUCAUUUUCGUUUUAGAUAUUUCUAACCCUUUUUGCACUGGGUUUUUAUUUUUCAUAAAUUGUGUUUUUGCAAAGUUCCUGGCCACUGCAUUUUUUCCUUUAUUUUCAGGUCCUGUUUUUCCUUGGUUCAAUAUUCAACAUGGUAUUUUUUUUUUUUAAUCUGAUUUGAAGUUGAUAUAGUCCAGACCAAUUUUUUUUUUUGAUUGGAUAGUCCUGACCAAUUUGAAGAAAAUGAUGUAAUGUGGUUUUUUGUAUAAAACCUUUUGUUGAUUUUUUCCUGAUUUGGUUGGUUUGUUUCUUAGGCUGAGUAUGUGAACCUUGAUACACUGUGGGUUACUCAUCCUUAAGUGGAUUUUUCACACAAUAUAUUUAAUUUUCGUAUAUGUUUGUGUGCAUAAUGAUCUGUGUUAGUUUUUGUGUAGCUUGGGAUUCAAACACACUUUUACAUGGAUAGGUCGAUUUCCUGUUUCUUGUGUAGCUUGUGACCCUUCUAAUAUUAUUUGAGGUAACUACUAACUUCAAAGGUUUUCAAAAGGAUUUUAUGUUUGUGUCUGCUUUGUAGGUUCUUAUGAGUCAACAUAUUUUCUCAUUUUCUUGUGAAGAAAAGUGUUGUUCUUUGCUUGGGUUGAUCAAGAUCAUAGUUGGAAGUUAACCUUAAUGUGUUAUGCCCACACUAUGCCAGUGCAGUGAUAAAUUUUUGUGUCAUUUUUGGAAUUUGGGCAAGUGAUAGCACGUCUUGUAUUUAAUAUUAACUAGCCAUCACUGCCAUAUGUAGAAAAGUACACUACUGCUAUAUGCAGUAAAAUGUUUGGAACAAAAAUGUGGAUAUAUAUACACAAAUUCAUAAUUCAAUUAAUAUUAAGAAUAAUGUCUCUUACAAACUUUGUGUGUUAUAUUAAGAAUAAGAAUUCUCUUACAAUAUGAUUGCUUGAUUUGGUUGGUUUGUUUCUUAGGCUGAGUAUGUGAACCGAUACACUAUGGGACUGUCUCAAUGAUGUUGUUAACACCUGAAGUGUAUUUAUUUGACAUUAAUGAAUUUGUUUUGCUUAUUGAAAACAUCUAUAUGUUCAUGUUGUACAUUGCUUCUGACCCUGUCACUAAUUGGGGUGUGCAUUUGCAUCCAUAGCUGAAAACGAUGCUCAAACUACCCACAUAUUACUAUGCUCAACAGGAGAAGAACAUGAUUUCAUGCUUGUCUCUUAUCAGGGUGAUGGGAAGUAAAAACCUGUCCUGCCUGUGUCAAAUUUGUAUUGUAUUGCCAAGUUUCUUUUUUUCAAAUGGUUUUAGAUCUUAUCAUUGUUUUAUGUUUUUUUAACUAUAACUCUAAUGAUGCUGAACAAAUACUUAUUUAAUAUAUUAAUGUGUUGUAAGUUGUAACAAUUUAAUUGGUUGUGCCUAAUCAUUAAUUCUUAGGUUCGUAUCCAUCUAAGAAACUUAUAUUUGACUUCACCAAAUCAUAUUUAAAAUAUGAACUAAAAAAGUAUUGUUAUUUAUAUCCAUAUUGAUUUCCUUAUUGAUGGAUUGUGAGGAUUCCUAUUUCUUAGUUUCAUUAGUUUUAUUUUUUAAGAUUGCAAUUUUAUUGCAGUUUAGAGGUGUUCCCGAGGUUUCUUUGCUUUGCUUCCAAGUUUGGUCCUUUUUAUGGAAAGCUGGCUGGUUUGCUUUUCAAGUUGUGUACUUAAAGGUUUUGGUGGCAGAAUUUAUCUUUUCUUACAUUGCAUUUAAGUAUGCAGACAGCUUUGCUUUGUUAUCAAGUAGUGUACCUUAGGCCAAUGUAGAGUAGGAAGACAUUUGAUUCUGGUUGUUGGAUAUUCUACUGGUUUGUGCACAAAUACAGCCAGCGAAUGUAGUUUGAUUUGGUUACUUUUAAUUGAUCUUUUUAGCAUGAUUUUAGCAUAAUUAUUUAGUGCACACAGUGACUCUUGUUUUUAAUUGAUAUUUUAGUAUGAUUUCUGCCCUAAUAUAUGCCGUAAUUGAUUGUUACUUUUAAUUUCAAGAAUUUAGAUGCAGUAAUUGAUUGUUACUUUUUAUUUCAAGGAGUUUCUAUCAUGAUUGAAAUUGUUAGAAAAUGCUUUCUUUAGGGGGUGUGAGGUAAUAGUUUUUGGUUAAAUCAAAGGGUCAUGCUAACCUCAUGAUAUAGUGUCUAAUGCACUAAUUGAGUUUUUGGUGAUGUGAUGAUAUGAUUAUAUAUGAUUUAAUUUGAAUUGGUAUGCGAAGUGCUAGCAUUGAGAAGCAUACACGAAAGUUUAUUUGAUCCAAAUGGACAUUUGAGCAAUUGGAAUAGUGAUGGAGACCCAUGCCUAUCUAACUGGACAGGAGUUGUGUCUUCUAAUCAAACAAUUGAAGAAAACUUUCUACAUGUUGUAGAAUUGUAUGACUUCUAUCUUCCCCACUUGUAUAAAGUUACACCGAUCAUGAAUCUGCAAUUUUAGAUUAUGCGUUGAGGGGUUACAUAAUCAGUGUUGUGAUGGCAGAGAAAUCUGUACCAAGGGCUCCACAAUCAAAUAACUAUGGGUUUGCAUUACAGAUUGAUACUUGCUUAUGGUGUAGAUUGAGAUUGAAAAUGUGGGUUAUUGUCAUUAUAAUUUAAAAGAGUUCACUAAUUGAAUUUCUAUGCAUAUCUUUUGUUUUUAAUAUUUUAAAUUAGUUUUAUUUAUUUUAUUUUUCUUUGCUUUGCUUCCAAGUUUGGUCCUUUUUAUGGAAAGCUGGCUGGUUUGCUUUUCAGGUUCUGUGCUUAAAGCUUUUGGAGGCAAAAUUUGCCUUUUCUUACAUUGCAUUUAAGUAUGCAGACAGCUUUGACUUGUUUACCUGUUCAAUUUCUUGUUUUUUUGUCUCUUCACUUUAUAUGAGCUUUGACAAUUUAGUUGACAAUCUUUGGUCUUUUGUACAGUGUUUAAAAAGAUUGAAGCUUGAACAUCAAUUCAUUUGAUUCAUGUGAUCAAUCAAUAAAAUGUUUUGUUGAUGCUGAAAUUAAAUGUUUAGUUUUACAAAACAAUUGAAAACUUUUAAUGUGUAAACAUAAUAUUUUUAUUUCUAAUCAAUUAUGUCAUCUUCCUCCAAGGAAUAUGUCAGCUUGGUCUGACUGAAGUAAUCCAGAGUUGCUUAAAACAUUUUUGUAAUAUGUGUUAUCAAAUGUGUUUGUAGUGACAGGUUCUAACGGAGCCAAAUUGGUGUCGGAAUCGGCUUGACUGGGACAUAUUUUCUGUAAAUUUUGUAGAAGGGAUUAAUCAAGUGAUGGAUCAGAUUUUCCAGAGCUACCAAAAUCAAAGAACCUGUUCUACAUUCGAAGGGAUUACUGCACAGAGAUAUCAAACCAGAUAAUUUUCUCAUGGGUCUUGGGAAGAAAGCAACUCGGAAAUUUGGCGAUGAUGGAAUGGGAGGCCUUGGCGGAAUGGAAGGAUUGGGAGGAAUGGGAGGACUAGGAGGAAUGGACUUCUCUAAAUUUGCUGGGAUGGGUGGUGAUGCAUUGGAUGAUGUUGACGAAAGUGACAAUGAAGAGAGAACAAAAACUUAACAGGAACAGCGCGUUAUGCAAGUUGCAAUACUCAUAAAGGAAUUGGAAUUGAUCAUGAAGCAGUGGGAGAAGAAUUAUUACAUUACUUCUAUUGCUGGAGUUACUAAUGGGAGCUCUCUUGUGGUGUUGUCAAAAGGCACACAGUAUACACAACAAUCAUACAAAGUAAGUGAGUCUUUCCCCUUCAAAUGGAUUAACAAGAAGUGGAUAGAAGGUUUUCACGUGACUUCAAUGGCAACUGCUGGAAGUCGUUGGGGUGUUGUUAUGUCACGGAAUGCGGGAUUCAGUGAUCAGGUUGUUGAACCUGAUUUUCUCUAUCCUAGCGAAGGAAUCCAUAGACGAUGGGAUAAUGGUUACAGGAUCACAGAAACUGCUGCUACAUGGGAUCAAUAUGCUCUUAUAUUAAGCAAUUGCAUUUUAGCCUUCCUUGGCAGGGUCUGCAAGCUGCCACCAAAAUGCAAAAAUAUGAAAAUUUUUGCAAUAUGAAGUUCUCAACUCGUGCUGAGGUACUUUGCAAGUCAUAUCCCGUGGAGUUUGCGUCUUACUUUCAUUAUUGCCGCUCCUUGUCAUUUGAUCAACGACCAGAUUAUGGAUAUUUGAAGCGCCUGUUUUGAACCUGAUAUCUUUUUUACUAUUGUGUUCAUGGAAUAUCGUGGUAGAAAAGAAUCACGUGGUCCGAAGAGAAAUUAUCGAAGAAAAACUCACAACGCAGAGAGAAAAUGUAACCAUUGUGACGAAACUGCCCCUAUGUAAAAAAUUGAAUUGACGAAACUACCCUAUGUAUGCAUAAACGUUCUCAAAUACAUGUGGGUCAAGUAUAUGUAUAUGCGUAGAAUUACUGUGUUCCAGUAACAUUUCUACAACUUUAGACAAUUUAUUUGCAACGAAAAUUUUACUUCUCAGAUCAA